AUUGAACGCUGGCGGCAUGCCUUACACAUGCAAGUCGAACGGCAGCACGGGAGCAAUCCUGGUGGCGAGUGGCGAACGGGUGAGUAAUAUAUCGGAACGUGCCCAGUCGUGGGGGAUAACGUAGCGAAAGCUACGCUAAUACCGCAUACGAUCUACGGAUGAAAGCGGGGGAUCGCAAGACCUCGCGCGAUUGGAGCGGCCGAUAUCAGAUUAGGUAGUUGGUGAGGUAAAGGCUCACCAAGCCGACGAUCUGUAGCUGGUCUGAGAGGACGACCAGCCACACUGGGACUGAGACACGGCCCAGACUCCUACGGGAGGCAGCAGUGGGGAAUUUUUGGACAAUGGGCGCAAGCCUGAUCCAGCAAUGCCGCGUGCAGGAUGAAGGCCUCGGGUUGUAACGUAGUCUUUUGUUACGGUAACG
rnacentral:rRNA from 1 species